rnacentral:lncRNA from 1 species
UUUAGUGAAAUUAUGAUAUUUUUAUAUUAUAUUAUAAAAAUACUUUGAUACAAAUCAAAUUCUAUGCUCUCAGCCUAACGAUGUUUUAGUAGACCCUACCAGUGGGGGCUAAAUAUUGGUAUCUAUUGGAACCUAUCAAUAGAGGUUAAAUGUUGGUACUUAGUGGACCUUGCAAAUAGGGAUUAAAUGUUGGUACUCAGUAGAUCCUACCAAUAGAGAUUAAAUGUUAGUAUAUAGUGGACUCUGCAGAUGAGGGUUAAAUAUUAGUAUUCAUUGACCCUGC